GACGAACGCUGGCGGCGUGCCUAAUACAUGCAAGUCGAACGCAGUGGGGACGGGUGCGUAACACGUGGGUAACCUCCCAUCAGAGGGGAUAACUCUUGGAAACAGGUGCUAAACCGAUACUGAUGGAUGGACCCGCGGUGCAUUAGCUAGUUGGUGAGGUAACGGCUCACCAAGGCCACGAUGCAUAGCAGACCUGAGAGAGUGAUAGGCAACACUGGGACUGAGACACGGCCCAGACUCCUGCAUGAGGCAGAUGUAGGGAAUCGUCGGCUAUGGACGAAAGUCUGACCGAGCAACGCCGCGUGAGUGAAGAAGGUUUUCGGAUCGUAAAACGCUGUUGUUAGAGAAGCGGUAUCUAACAAGAAAGCAACGGCUAACUACGUGCCAGCAGCCGCGGUAAUAC
rnacentral:rRNA from 1 species